ACCGCGGUAGCCCAGUGGCGUCGGCAGUACAGAUGCUGAAGGUCGCAGGUUCAAAUCCUGCCUGCGGUG